rnacentral:rRNA from 1 species
GUUAGGAAUAUUGGACAAUGGGCGCAAGCCUGAUCCAGCCAUGCCGCGUGAACGAUGAAGGCCUUCGGGUUGUAAAGUUCUUUAGCCGAUGAUUAUAAUGACUGUAGUCGGAAAAUAAGCCCCGGCUAACUUCGCGCCAGCAGCCGCGGUAAUACGAAGGGGGCGAGCGUUAUUCGGAAUCACUGGGCGUAAAGCGUGCGUAGGCGGUCUCGUAAGUUAGGAGUGAAAGCCCAGGGCUCAACCUUGGAAUUGCUCUUAAAACUGCAAGGCUAGAAUCUCGGAGAGGAUAGCGGAAUUUCCAGUGUAGCAGUGAAAUGCGUAGAUAUUGGAAGGAACACCAGUGGCGUAAGCGGCUAUCUGGACGAGUAUUGACGCUGAGGCACGAAAGCGUGGGGAUCAAACAGGAUUAGAAACCCCGGUAGUCC